rnacentral:rRNA from 1 species
GACGAACGCUGGCGGCGUGCUUAACACAUGCAAGUCGAACGGUGAAGCUCCAGCUUGCUGGAGUGGAUCAGUGGCGAACGGGUGAGUAACACGUGAGCAACCUGCCCCUGACUCUGGAAUAAGCGCUGGAAACGGCGUCUAAUACUGGAUACGAGAAGGGUCCGCAUGGGCACUUUCUGGAAAGUUUUUCGGUUGGGGAUGGGCUCGCGGCCUAUCAGCUUGUUGGUGAGGUAAUGGCUCACCAAGGCGACGACGGGUAGCCGGCCUGAGAGGGCGACCGGCCACAAUGGGACUGAGACACGGCCCAGACUCCUACGGGAGGCAGCAGUGGGGAAUAUUGCACAAUGGGCGAAAGCCUGAUGAAGAGACGCCGCGUGAGGGAUGACGGCCUUCGGGUUGUAAACCUCUUUCAGCAGGGAAGAAGCGAAAGUGACGGUACCUGCAGAAGAAGCACCGGCUAACUACGUG